rnacentral:sRNA from 1 species
UCGACUAAGGUUCGACUCGAGCGAAGCGAGAGAACGUUGCCGCAGGCAACGGCCCGAAGGGCGAGGAGCGAUAGCGACGAGUU